rnacentral:rRNA from 1 species
UACGAAGGGUGCAAGCGUUAAUCGGAAUUACUGGGCGUAAAGGGUGCGUAGGCGGUUGUUUAAGUCUGUCGUGAAAUCCCCGGGCUCAACCUGGGAAUGGCGAUGGAUACUGGACAGCUGGAGUGUGUCAGAGGAUGGUGGAAUUCCCGGUGUAGCGGUGAAAUGCGUAGAGAUCGGGAGGAACAUCAGUGGCGAAGGCGGCCAUCUGGAUCAACACUGACGCUGAGGCGCGAAAGCGUGGGGAGCAAACAGG